rnacentral:rRNA from 1 species
ACGAACGCUGGCGGCGUGCUUAACACAUGCAAGUCGAACGCUGAAGCUCAGCUUUUGUUGGGUGGAUGAGUGGCGAACGGGUGAGUAACACGUGAGUAACCUGCCCCCUUCUUUGGGAUAACGCCCGGAAACGGGUGCUAACACUGGAUAUUCACUGGUCUUCGCAUGGGGGUUGGUGGAAAGGGUUUUUCUGGUGGGGGAUGGGCUCGCGGCCUAUCAGCUUGUUGGUGGGGUGAUGGCCUACCAAGGCUUUGACGGGUAGCCGGCCUGAGAGGGUGACCGGUCACAUUGGGACUGAGAUACGGCCCAGACUCCUACGGGAGGCAGCAGUGGGGAAUAUUGCACAAUGGGCGCAAGCCUGAUGCAGCGACGCCGCGUGAGGGAUGGAGGCCUUCGGGUUGUGAACCUCUUUCGCUCAUGGUCAAGCCGCAACAAUGGUUGUGGUGAGGGUAGUGGGUAAAGAAGCGCCGGCUAACUACGUG